rnacentral:rRNA from 1 species
UACGUAGGGAGCAAGCGUUGUCCGGAAUCAUUGGGCGUAAAGCGCGCGUAGGUGGCCACAUAAGUCCGUUGUGAAAGUCAAAGGCUCAACCUUUGAAAGCCGAUGGAUACUGUGUGGCUAGAGUACGGAAGAGGCGAGUGGAAUUCCUGGUGUAGCGGUGGAAUGCGCAGAUAUCAGGAGGAACACCGAUGGCGAAGGCAGCUCGCUGGGACGGUACUGACGCUGAGGCGCGAAAGCGUGGGGAGCGAACAGG